GGGGAUUUAGCUCAGUGGUAGAGCGCUUGCCUAGGAAGCGCAAGGCCCUGGGUUCCAUCCCCAGCUCUG
rnacentral:tRNA from 1 species